rnacentral:rRNA from 1 species
CAGUAGCCGCGGUAAUACGGAGGGGGCUAGCGUUGUUCGGAAUUACUGGGCGUAAAGCGCACGUAGGCGGCUUGGUAAGUUAGAGGUGAAAGCCUGGAGCUCAACUCCAGAAUUGCCUUUAAGACUGCCGAGCUAGCAGGUGAGAGAGGUAAGUGGAAUUCCGAGUGUAGAGGUGAAAUUCGUAGAGAUCGGGAGGAACAUCAGUGGCGAAGGCGGCCAUCUGGGACAACACUGACGCUGAGGCACGAAAGCGUGGGGAGCAAACAGGAUUAGAUACCCGCGUAGUCCCUGUCUCUUAUAC